GAUGAACGCUGGCGGCGUGCCUAAUACAUGCAAGUCGAGCGAACAGACGAGGAGCUUGCUCCUCUGACGUUAGCGGCGGACGGGUGAGUAACACGUGGAUAACCUACCUAUAAGACUGGGAUAACUUCGGGAAACCGGAGCUAAUACCGGAUAAUAUAUUGAACCGCAUGGUUCAAUAGUGAAAGACGGUUUUGCUGUCACUUAUAGAUGGAUCCGCGCCGCAUUAGCUAGUUGGUAAGGUAACGGCUUACCAAGGCGACGAUGCGUAGCCGACCUGAGAGGGUGAUCGGCCACCCUGGAGCUGGGCCACGGUCCAGACUCCUACGGGAGGCCGCAGUAGGGAAUCUUCCGCAAUGGGCGAAAGCCUGACGGAGCAACGCCGCGUGAGUGAUGAAGGUCUUCGGAUCGUAAAACUCUGUUAUUAGUGAAGAACAAAUGUGUAAGUAACUAUGCACGUCUUGACGGUACCUAAUCAGAAAGCCCCGGCUAACUACGUG
rnacentral:rRNA from 1 species